ensembl:lncRNA
CUGAGAGCCAUGGAAAGGUAGAGAGAGGUUUCCACCAUUAAUAGAAAUCUUGGAUUAUCAGUCUUUGGAAACAGCUUGCAUAAAAAGAAUGAAGGGUUGUGUGUAUCUCCAGAAGGUGCCCCCACAACAUCCUGCUGGCUCCCUUUGGUGAGUGUAAAACGGCAUGCAGCAGGGAGCUAUACAGAGAAAGUAUAGUAAAUUGAGAGGAGUAAGCAUGCCGGUAUGGAUUACAAGGGAAGCAUGCAAAAACUGUAGGACCCAUGUAAGAAUUGAGUAAAACCCAUUUUUCCCUCAACUACACAACAGAAGUCAUGAAGGAACACCAGUUUCCGAUGGACCACGUUAUGAUACAAAACUGUAUGACUCUGUAUGGGAACUGUUGAACCACGGCCUGAACCUCUGAUUGAUCACCUGAGGCAAGCACUGAGUCAGCCGCAGGAGCACAGGUGAAGGCAAUUCAGCUGUGUGGCCGGAAGGGCUGAAGCCUGGCUGCACCUCUCCUAGACCCCAUUUAAGGGCUGACUGCCACUGAAGAAGGAUCUCUUUCCAGAGAUUGCUCCUCUUUGAGUUUCUCCUGCAGUCCUACAACACGGAUCCUGAACUCCUAGAGGCAGAUUCACAAUGACUUGGCUGAAUACAUGUGUCUGAUUCAUGUGAUUCUGACCCAGUGCUCACCUACCCCACUACUGCUGUAUCACAGUACAAGAAAUCUCAAUGUUACAUGAUGCAGCAAAGGCCCUGUAGGAGGAUUACUUAAGGAUAUUGAUUCAGUUUACUGGAAGAGUGAUGCAUUGAUAUUGUGAAUUAACCUGCUAGAAUUCUCACAGUCCUCCUUUCAGAUCUCAGUUCACAUCAGGCUGGGUAGAUUUCUGCGCAGUUCCCAGCUGAGUCACCAGAGAGGGGCCCGCCUUCAUCAUGGAUCAAUUUGAUUUCAAGCCCUGACAAAUACCCAGCUUCAAGAUGGGGGACAAUCUGUAAUGUGCUUUAUGAGAACACAAGGAAAUGAUGAAAAGUUCAAGAGUGACAGCUUGAAGUUCUGUAUGCAUACAAAAAGGACAACGUGAAUAAUGUCAGCAUGCACUUCCCCUUCCCUUCAGGAGCUCCAGAAUAUUUUAGAUGUGUAAAAAGAAUGUACUACUGUGACCUGACAUUACAAGUAUUUGAGGGGCAAAACCACAGCACUUCUAUAUUGACAGAUCACAUACUCUUAAUGCUGAGAUAUAUUUAUCUAUCUAGUACUCUAAGAUGCUGAAGGGGUAGGAUGUGCUUGAGAUAAAAAUAUGUCGGUACUGUUGAAUCAUACCAAAAACUUAACUUAAAAGACCUUCCUCUGACAAAAGCAACAACAACAAAACUGAAACAUAAAAUAUGCUAGACCUUCUUAUUUAAAUAGUAUUUGAAUUGAGCCAUUCUGACUACAAAGGCUUGAAGCCUGGAUACAGCCCUGAACUAAUUUCCUGCCUUUUGCUUUUGUUUGUCAGUUAACGUCAUACAGAUCAUGUCAUAUAAAUGAAGCUGAACACUGUUUAGGUCUUAGUGUUAGCAAACAAGAAAUCAUGAUUUGAUUCUUGCAUUCUGUGCCUCUGUCCUUGAGCCAACUCUGUGUGCUUUGUGCUUGCUACAGCACUGAACGUAUAACUGAUUGUUGGUAAUACUGAAAAUGACAUGCAUAUUGAAAUGCUUGCAAGACUGAAGUUUUUAACAUAAAAUAAAUCAGUACUUUGCUUUUGGGUUUCUUUGUUUGUUUUGUUUUGUUUUUUUGGCUGAAGAGUUGAGAGCAUUUUAUCUUAGGCCAACUGGAAAGUUACCUUUCAUUUCCUUCUCCCCCCCAAUAUUGUUUGUUUAAAGUGUUUUUACUUUUUUAUACAAGUCAAAUUAAAUUUAGAGAUAAAGAGCUGUUUUAAACUGAAAAUCAGAAUAUUUCAUACUGGAAGUGCUUAAAUCAUUAGAAGACCAAAAGAGUAAUCUUCUAGAAAUUCACAAAACAAUCCUUCUGUGUAAUUUUGGAGGGUAGAAGAUAUUAUUAAGAAUAUAUAUUUUUUCUAAUAUUAGAUGUUUUAAUAUUAUAAAAUCAUGGAAUGGUUGGGUUGGAAGGGACCUCAAAGCCCACCCAUUCCCACCCUGUGCUGUGGGCAGGGCUACCACCCACCAGUUCGAGCAGCCCAGGGCCCCAUCCAACCUGGCCUUGAACCUCCAGGGAUGAGGCUCAUUCUCAGCACCUCACUGCCCACUGAGAAAAGAAUUUUUUUCAACAUCUCCCCUAGAUUUCCCCUCUUUUAGUUUAAAGCCAUUCCUCCUUGUUCUGUUGCUAUCAGACCACUUAAAAAGUUGGCCCCCCUCCUGCACAAUAUUAUCAGUAACAUGGUCAAUAACUUUUUACCCAUUUCCAGUUGUAACAUCUGCUCUAUGCUGAGAGACGUACAUUCAACCUGACCAACCUGGCUGCUUGUUCUUCAAAACCAAUGCUAGCGAGGAGUUACAGCAUUUUCUAUUUCUGCAUUUGAGCAUGGAGGAUGGAAAAAGUACCAAGCUCUGAGCUAUGCUCAAUGAAACAGAAUCCCGUCCAGAUCCUCAGUCUGAUACAAAGUCAAGAAAAGUGGCUUCAGGAAACUAGGGACUGUGAAUAUCACUGAUUUAAGAACUGGAUAAUUUAUAAAUCUAUUUAAUCUCCAGCCAACGAUUCUUUCCCUGCUAACAGCUUGCAAAGCAGAGUUAACCUUUUAGGCUAUUAUUUCAAG